rnacentral:lncRNA from 1 species
UUUUAUUUAAUUAAAAUUCGGUCCAAACUCAUUUUUUUUAAUUUUGAAAUUUCGAUUCAGAUCUACUAAGUGCUCAUCGUAUCAAACCAGAUAUGUAUAUUUAUUCUUUUGCAUGCUUAUUUUACAUCCUAUUAUUCAAUCUGAGCCAACCAACACUGAUAUGCAUUCAUUAAUUUUUUUGCUCAGGUAAACUAUAUGUAACCCUCUUCUCAUUUUUUUUAUAAAAAUAUAUCUAUAUUUAUUUUGCUAAUAUAUUCCGAAACAGACUUAUAUAUAUAUAUAUAUAUAUAUAUAUAUAUAUAUAUAUAUAUAUAUAUAUAUAUAUAUAUAUAUAUAUAUAUAUAUAUAUAUAUAUAUAUACAUUUUUUAUUUAUAUAUAUGUGUGUGUGCGCGCUAAAUGAAGUUGUUCUAUACUGCAAUUAGAAGAAAAAGUGGCCUAUUGCUCAGGUAUUAUUUUCUAUCGCAAGUUUUUUUUGAAUAAACUGCUUGUAUUGUUUGAAGUAAUGAUUUAGAUAUAAUAUUGACUCCAUUUGUGCUUAUCUGUUCAAAAUUGAUAUACAUGUAUCUACUUGCUCUGAAAUGAUUGACUGAAUGAGAUACUGCCUCUUAUACUCAUAAUUUCUCUGACUUAAAACUCUAAACUUGGCUCAGCUACUAUAUCGGAUAAAUUGCCUGGUAUAAAUGUAGUCACUUUCGUAUAUCAGACUGAGAUUUUGAAAUCAUUGGUGUGAGAAAAAAAAAUUACACAUUGAACUAAUGUAUUGAGCUUAUUGAGUUUUCGUCUAAAAAUAGUAAAGAUCUAAAUGCCUGAACUCUAUAUAUAGAAAUUUGUUGACAGUUGUGAAUUCUACUGAUCAGUCCUUUAAUUUGCACUAUUCACAAUUUAUCUAUCUAUGUGGUAAAUUCAAAUCAUGAUAUCUGGGCAAUGCUUAUAAUGAAUUUGUUUCAUUGAGUUAAGCUUAUUAAAUGCAUUAAACAAUAUUUUUUUAUCUAAAACUAUUGUUUUCUCAAUAUCUUGGGAAUGUGUUACACAGUGCAAAGUAUGGUGAUUUUACUUCCAAAUCUUUCUUUACAUUUAGUGCUAAUCAACAUUUCCACAUGCAUUCAAAGCAUAUAAUUUAAAAUUGAUGAACAACUACUUGUCAAUGCAUUAAAAUUAAGACCAUCCAUGUUAGACCUACUAAGAUCAAAUAAAUUUGUUUCUGUUGCCUCCUUUUUAGUCUUAACAAAAGGACUCUUAACUCAUGCAAGCAUACAUGGGUCAACAAGUAGUACAGAGUAUGAACGACAUCGAUCCACGGAGAAAGGUUUUAAAAUUAAACUAUCAUACACCAAUUGUAUUACUAUUUUUAUAUGCUUAAAUGAAUAAUCCACAAUUAUGUUUAAUUUAUAUUCAAUUAAUGAAUAAAAACACAAGACUAAUUUAAUGAAAUCAAAUUUGGAAAUAAUGAGAUUCUAACUUUAUUUCAUAUUUCAUCUAAAUUUUACCAUUAUGCACAAUUAUACAUUUAUCAUGAACAUUAGCUAAGAGCACAAAAGUAGACAUAAUCAUUUUUCAAUGAAUUAUGACCUGUUUACAUAACAUCCACAUUUCGAUAAUAUUUUCUGUUGUGGAUUUAACAAUUUCCUUUAAUUUUUACUUCAUUUUUUGAUCACAUUUUCUCUCACUUUGUCUCUCUUCUAUCUGUUUUCUCUCCUCAGCCGAAACUCUCUCAAACCCUAACUUUUUCUAAGGCAAAAUCCUUGAUUUUGAGUAAGUUUUUGUGAAAACUAAUCAAUUCUACAACAUCUAAAUCAUAUAAUCACAGAUUUUUUAAAUUUGUUUGUCAAUUUUUAUUCUCAGAUAUAUAAAUUUUUUAUUUUUGAUCAAAUCAUAGAUUUCUCUGUAAAAUCACUUUGUUUAAAUCGUUUUUGAUCACUAAGAUUAAGUUACUACCGAUCAGUUUAGCUUCAGCUGUCCAUUUUUUUAAUCCUCUCAAACCCUAAUUUUAUUUCUGCAAAAAUCUUUUGAGUUCUAAACCAUAUUUACUAAAUUAAUCGAUUUUACUACCUUCUAAAUCAUAUGACUAUCGAUUAUUUUCAUUUAAAACAAUUUCUGCACAAUGAUUUUGGUUCAAACUUAUGAUUUAUAAUAUUUUUUUACCAUAUGUGACAUUUUUUUAUUAAUUUUUUUAAAAAAGAGGUUUUUCGACCAUAGAUCUUUAUGAGAGGGAGUUUUCAAAAUUUCAUAUUUGAAUCUUUUAUCGACCAAAUAAUAAUUAUACAUUUUAUUUAAUUAAAAAUCGGUCCAAACUCAUUUUUUUUAAUUUUGAAAUUUCGAUUCAGAUCUACUAAGUGCUCAUCGUCUCAAACCAGAUAUGUAUAUUUCUUCUUUUGCAUGCUUAUUUUACAUCCUCAAUGCAUUAAAAUUAAGACCAUCCAUGUUAAACCUACUAAGAUCGAAUAAAUUUGUUUCUGUUGCCUCCUUUUUAGUCUUAACAAAAGUACUCUAACUCAUGCAAGCAUACAUGGGUCAACAAGUAGUAUAGAGUAAGAACAGUAUCGAUCCACGGAGAAAGGUUUUAAGAUUAAACUAUCAUACACCAAUUGUAUCACUAUUUUUAUAUGCUUAAACGAAUAAUCCACAAUUAUGUUUAAUUUAUAUUCAAUUAAUGAAAAAAAACACGACUACUAAUUUAAUGAAAUCAAAUUUGGAAAUAAUAGGUUUUAACUUCAUUUCAUAUUUCAUCUAAAUAUUACCAUCAUGCACAAUUAUAUAUUUAUCAUGGACAAUUAGCUAAGAGCACAAAAGUAGACAUAAUCAUUUUUCAAUGAAUUAUGACCUGUUUACAUAACAUCCACAUUACGAUAGAAAUCAUGUAAUCGGCAAUAAUGUCAAAAUCACUAUAUUCUUAUGUGAAAUUGUAACAAUAUUGAAUUGAAGCACAAACUCUUAUAUUACUACACACGGUGAAACAGUAUAUUUCUAUCUGAUUCACGAAAUAUAAAGUUAAACAUUUCAGCCUCAUAAACGCAUGCUAUCAUGAUUACAACCAUGCUCACAUGUCAUUUUUCAAUUCCAUAUAAGCAUAUAAAAUGAAUGAUGAUCAAACAUUCAUGCAAUCCAAUCAAUCAUAACAGAAUUUCCAAUGAUAAACGAAUAAUCAAGCAUUCAGGCAACUAAUUAUAACUACAUAUCAAAAUCCGUUAGAAUCCCAUAAUGAAAGUUAAAUCAUUUCUGAACCGAAAGCCAUUAUGGGAUUAUAGUAACACAUGGAAAAUAAAUAAUGUAAUUCAAAGAGAAGAUAGAAUUGAUUAAACCCAAUUGCAGAUUUUGUUCCAAAGUGCUGUUUUAAUCUCCAAUAAUUUCCUGCAAAAUGAAAUGAGUUAUUGUUCAAAUGACUGAAUUCCAAAAGAAGAUGAAGAAAAUCUUUAGUUUAUGCUCAAAUCCUCCUUUGAAAUUAGUUCAAAGCUACUAACCCUAAUUACCUUAAUGAAAAACUAAUAAAAACCAAUAUAACCACGUCUGGUAUCAAUUAGAAUAGUUUCAGAUAAGACCACUCUCAAAUUUCAAAUUCAAAAACAUAAGUCAAAUAACUGCUUCAGAUAACGCGUGCGGCCGCUCGUGAUUGCAGUGCAAAAUGGGCGCGCGACAUCUAGCUUGUUUAGCCGCGCGGGCGCGCGAUGUGUACUCUUAGCCUCUGUCUGCAUAUUGCGCGGGCGCGCGAAGAAUACUUUGUCAAGCAGCGCGGCCGCGCUGCUUCUGUCUGCUGCAUACUGCUAUCUGCUGCUGUUGCUUCUUCCUCCAUUACUGCUUAGUUCCUUAUCUACACUCGUUUCACGUGCCAUGCUUUCGCUAGUCUCAUACCACCUACCAAUGCCGAGCUAUGCCAUUUCCUGCAUUUUCAUACCAUAGAAGUUCUAAUUACAAGUAAUGCAAAAUAAACACAAAAUGCAAUUAAAAACAUACUAAAAUAUACUUGAGAUGAGCAUAAUUCUCGUGAAUUGAUAUUCAAAUGGGUAAAAUGUAAGGUUGACCACUGAACUUUAGGGUUUUUUGGGUAUUGAGCCCUUUUCUUUUGGUCAACGCAUUUUGAGCCCUUUCCUAUUACAAAAUUUUGACUUCGAGCCCCUGUUGCCAGAUAUGCGUUGACUUGCUCACGUGGCACCUACGUGGCAUAUCUGAUUGGACUUGAACCAAAAAAUUUGUUGCUACUCAAAUUCGAUCUCUAGACCUCCAACUUGAAAUUUCUACUCAAUUACCACCCAAGCAACACGGGUUAACUGUUUUAUUUUUGCAAGGAUUAUGAUUUAUAACUGAACAAAGAAUUUCCUCCAAAUUAAAACAAAACCCCUUUUCUUAGAUCUGCUAAGUCUCCGUCUCUAUCUCAUUUCUUUUAAUCUUCAUCUGUCGCUUUCUCUAAGCAUAAACGAAAACUUAGGGUUUCUUACUUUCGUCAAAUUGGGGGUUUCGCUGCUUCUCUCACUAGCUUCAAAUCAAUGCUCGAAACUGAUUGGUUUGCUAAUAAUGCUAUGAACCCUUCUCAAAAUAUCCUCACAAAUCAUCACCCAGAUUUCAAUAAUGGUAAUUUGUUGUUACAAGCAAUGGAUUCUUCAUCUUCCUGUUCUCCGGUACCCGCGUUCACGCUCGACCCAUCACAGUCACAUUAUCCCUUCCUCCUUCCCAAAUCUAGCUUCUCUUCGCUCUCUAAUGUUCCAUUUGACAAUAGCUUCGAUUUGGACUGAACUCAAUUUCUUAACAAAUUCGAAUUCCCCUGUUUUGCCUAAUCCUGAACUGAGUUCAGGUUCUGAUUUUGCUCUACCCAUUUUCUACCAAUUUAUGACAACAACGACAACUCAAUUGGAGGUGGGUUUAGUCCAAUUGGGUAUGAUGGAUUUCAGGGUUCUUCAGGAAAUGCUCUGUUUUCAAACAGUGCUAAGUUUUGCCUUUAUCACUCAAGGCAACCAGUAAAAAAGUAGAAUGUUAAUGUAUCAACAUGAACGCAACCUGUGGGAAAAUAAAAAAACAGCACAGGACCAUUCAGCUCAUUUAUUCUCCUUGUAUUCACUUCCAUGACUUCUGGUUAUAGAAGGAAUGAGAAGUACUAAUUCUAUAUAGAAGAAAUGUAAUUUACACAUUCUCUAGUGCAAAAAUAAUAGCAAUUAAGAUUGUGAAAUGGUAUCUAUUCUAUGGAUCUUGUUAGUGAAGUAAAAGCUAAUUAACGAUAACGCCAGUCUGUACGCAGGGUUCUUUAGCUACCACCUACCAGUCCAAAUCAAGGAAUUUUUAUUAUUAUUAUUAUUAUUAUUUUAUUUUAUUUUAUUUUUAUUUUUAUUAUUAUUGUUAUUAUUAUUAUUGUUAGUAUUAUUAUUAUUAUUAUUAUUAUUUUAUUUUAUUUAUUUUAUUUUUAUUUUUAUUAUUAUUAUUAUUAUUAUUAUUAUUAUUAUUAUUAUUAUUAUUAUUAUUGUUAUUAUUAUUAUUAUUAUUUUAUUUUUUUAUUUUUAUUAUUAUUGUUAUUAUUAUUAUUAUUAUACGGUUUUCGAAUUCGUUAAAUAUUUGACCUGCCUAAAAAACAGAUUUUAUUUGAAGAGGUGAAAGAUAAGAAAUAUAUUUUUAUUUAUUUAUUUAUAAAGCACUUGUAUAUAAUUUUGGUUCUUUAGUUUUUUUAUUCUUGUUUUUUGAUAUUUUUAAUUUUAAAAAAUGAACAGUUAAUAUAUAAACAUUCUUUUUCUAUGUGUUUUAAUUUAUUGUUUUAAUAAGUCGAUUACUCUAUUUAAAUAUUAUUUGGGAAAAUGAAUUGAUUUGGUAUAAAUAUUAAUUCUUUUGAUAAAAUAACUAUAAGUUUUAUGUAGCUCAGUUGGUUUGAUGAUCAAAAUUUUAAAUUUGAGGUUUUGGGUUCGAUUCUUGGGAAACCAAGUUUUUUAACAAUUAAUUGGGAAAUGCAAAUGUAAGCAGUUCCACGUGGCAAAAUGUCUACGUCAGCAUUGCCACAUAGGCAGGUCAACGCCCAUGUGGCACAUGGGGGCUCAAUAUCCAAAAUUUAUAAUAGAAAGGGGCUCGAUUUGCGUUGACCAAAAGAAAGGGGCUCAAUGCCUAAAAACACCUAAAGUUCAAUGGUCACAUUUGCAUUUUACUCAUAUUCAAAUAGUAGGUAUAAAAUCUACUUAUCAAAUAUCCUCAAACUUGAAUUAUUGUUUUCUCUCAAGCAAUGCAUACAACAUUAAACACUGAAAAUGCAACUACAUGCUAUACAACUAGAUUACGAUGCAAAUGAGUCCCAUAUUUUUCCAGCUAGAAUAGAAUUUCAGUCCAAUAUGCCUCAGCGAAUUAUCCAGAUUCAAGAAUAAAAAUUCAAAUUAAACUAUAGACAUAAUAUCAUACACUCAAAUAACCCAUACAUGCUAUAAAGAUGCUGUGUGUGUGUUGUGUUCACUAAAACUUGAUUAAAGCAAAGAAUACACUGCUCAAAACAGAAAAUUGCAGCCUAAAUCAAGAUUCUUGUAUACUAAUGCAUCAAAGACUAUUCUAACAUCUCAAUACAAACUAAGGUUCAUCAAUGAGUUUAAACUGCUUUAUUUCUACUCACGAGGGCCCUUUUCGCUCUUUCUCGUGGUGUUUAUUGCUAUAUAUAUAUAUUUUUUAUAACGAGUGCGUUUUACGCUCCAUCUCGCCCCUUCUAAAGAGUCAAUAAUUCAGCUCAAGAGGGUUUCAAGAUUUUUUUUUUUUAUAUACCAACAUCAUACCCAUGUGUUCCCAAAUUUUGAUUAUCAAUGAUUCAUAAUCUAAGUCCAUUUUUCACACAAUUCUAUUUUUAAAACCACAUUUCCUACGGGUUAAAUCUACUUUUCCUCACUCUACUCGACCUCGGUUUACAAAUGCAUCACUGAACUGAAAUUUUUUACAAUCGACUCAUUGAAUUACAAAUUAUUUACAAAUCGUUACAAAAUCCGUUAAAUGAGUUGACUUUUAACGGAAAAUCCACGUCACUUUUAAAAUAAAAAUCCAUGUCAGCUGUUUCAUGUGAUAUUAUUCUAUUUGUUGCCACAUUGAAAAAUAAAUGAGUUUAAUAAUAAGUAUAAAUUAUAAAUUAAAAUUCAUAAAAAUAAAUUCAAACUAAAAAAAUAUAACUAAAAUUUUGAAAAUUAAUUAUUAUUUUUAUUUUUAAAAAUUAAUAUAAUUAUUAUUUAUAUUAUGAAAUCAUUAAAUUUAAGCUUAAAUAUAAAAAAAGAAAUAUUAAAAUACUUCAAAUAUCAAUUUUUUUUUAAAAUCUGGUUUGAUAUCAUUAGAUACAAGAGAGAGAGAGACAAAAAUUCUUUUGUAUCUGAGGCAACCCAAAUUCGUUCACAGAAUCAAAACUCAAAACUCAAAAUGUGCACAAAUCAAACUCAAAAUUCAUUCCAUCAAACCCAAAAUCUAAAAUAUGUUCAUAUCAAACCAUAAGAAGCCAAUAAAUUUUUAUUUAUUGGGAAUCUGUAAUCAAAACCUACUAUUUCAACCAUCUAUGCAUCUUCAACCUCCAACCAUCAAUCAUCGAUUGCUCCACUAAAUUGAUGAGGAUAUCCUUCUAUUCUUCACGAAGAGCUCGCUGGAUUGAGUCCACCGGCGACGGUAAUAGAUUCGUCGGAGGGGAAUAUGAUGAUGGAGGAGAAGAUGUACAGAGUAGAUAUGAAAAAAUAUAUAUAACAAACCCAGAUCUAAAAAAAUAAAUCCAGAUGAUAAGUAGGUGAAAUUCAAAAAAAAAAAAAGCCAAAAUAAAAAAGAAGGAGAAGGAUUCGUUGGAGGGGAAGGUGAUGAUGGAGGGAAAGAGUACACAGUGAUGGAGCGGAAGGAGGGGAACGUGAUUAUGUUUAAUUAGAAUUUAGAUAAUUAGGUUUUAUUAUGUAAAUAUUAUUAGUUUUAACUUUAUAAAAUAUAGGUUUAACUUUACAAAAUAUUAAAAAUAUAUUUUUUAAAAUAAAAAAAUUAACAAAUAUUUUUUUUUAAAUUUUUCAUGACUUUUUAAAUAUUUCUUCUUGAUGAUAUUUAGGAUUUCCAACAAAAGAACAGAGAGAUAAUAAUAAUUUCAAAAUAUUAGACCUUUUUUACAAAAAUACAUCUUUUAAAAAUAUAAAUAUAAAAUAUAAAAAAUAUUUUUUUCAAAAUAUAAAAAAUAUAAAAAAUAUUUUUAAUUUUUAUAUUUUUACAUAAAAAUAUAAUAUUUUAUAUUUUAUAUAAAAUAAACUAAAAUAUAUUUUAUGUAAAAUUUAAUAUUUAUAUUUUUAUAUAAAAUUUUUACAUUUUUAUAUUUUUUAUAUAAAAAAUAUAAAUAUUUUUUUAAAAAUAUAAAAUUGUCUUCAAAAAUAUAUCUUUUAAUUUUGAAGGGAAUAAAGUUUUUCUAGGGACUAAUUUUAAGAAACUAGGUAAAAUUCUAUAAUUUUUUAGUAAAUAAAGUGCUUGACAACAUUAAUUAAUAAAAUAUUGUCACUAAAAUCCAUGUAAGUAUAUACUGCCACGUAUUUUAAUUAUAAACUGCAAUUUAUUGCCAUGUCAGAUUUCUGUUAAAUGGUUAACAGACAUAGAUGGUUUUAUCAUUUUUUGUAAAUAAUUUGUAGUUCAAUGAGUUGACCGUAAAAAAUUCCAAUUCAGUGAUGCAUUUGUAAACUGAGUUCGAGUAGAGUGGGGAAAAGUAGAUUUAACCCCAUUUCCUACCAAGCAAUAAAACAUACAACUCUUAUGCCUAUAAGCAUUUGUGAACACGUAAGUGCAAACCGAAAGCAUCUAAACAGCACCAUAAAUUACAUCAUGUAAAACGUUAUAUCUAAGCUUACGUUAUCCAUUAAACUCAACAAUCCUUCAAGAUUCAAAUUCAUCAUUGGCUAGACAUAGAUUCCACAUAGCUAGAAAUGCGAGACAUGCUAACAUAUAAUGCAACUAAACAUAUACCAACACAUAAACAUGCAAACUAAACAUACAAAAUUAAAAUUUAAACUAACAUGCAAACACUACAUGCAAACUACCUACUACCCAAUACCCCCAAACUUAAAAUAUUCAGUGUCAAUGAAUGAAGGUAUAGGGUUAGAAGAACUCCCCUACUGAUCAGCUGCACCACCCUCUUCGGGUGGUGAAUCCGGUGGUGGAAAUGGCACGGUUGUCCCAAUUUGUGGCCACUCGAGUGUAGUACCCUGUUGUGCAAACGCCUCCACUAGCGUCCUCGUCAACCCCGUAGCAAACGUUGCAAAGUUAUCAUAUAUAGCAUCGACCUUCCGCUCUAACCUUCGAAGAUGACGGUCAUCAUGGACAGUAGAGGCUUAUGUUGACGUUCCUGCUUCAGUUUCCUGUGUAGACUGUGGUGGAGGCAUCGAGGAUGCGGGUUGAAGGAUGAAACCUUUUCCCCUCGGGUGUGGCGCCCAAUCCUCAAAUUUGGCAAUCGUCGCAUGAGUGAUAUCUUGGCUAGGACUUUGCAUCUGUUCAUCACCCCAACGGACUCCUUGCUGUGCACACAAACUAGCAAUAACAGACGCAUGUGGGAUACUUCCCGUAGUGCUCCCCCUCAUGUAACGUAACAUGUUCUGAUUAAUGAGAUGACCCACAUCGAUGUAUUUGCCUGUGACUAUUCCCCACAAAAUGAUGGCCCUCUCAGUUGUGAUUUCAUGCUGAUGCGUCGAAGGUACAAGCUUCGCACAUAUGAACAAAUUUCAAGCCUUUGCAUAGCGAUUCAGGGAUGAGGCUGGGAAAGUGCGAGGAUGAUUUGUCCCUGCCCUACAAGUCCACUGGACCACUGGGUUCCUGGAAUGCACAAGUCAGUGAUGACUUCGUCCAAAUCAGUCUCAAAACGGACAGCCUCGACCCAAUUAUCAUACCCAGUCGGUGGAGUGUUGAGUAUUUUGAAAGCUGCCCUGAUUGAUUGAGGUCGGUAAUCUACUUGAACUCCUCGAACCAUUGAUAACACACUCAUAGUAUCUUUGGCAUUAAAAUAAAAUUCUCGAACAAUACCCAUGGGGCAGGCAGUAAAUCCUCCCCAUCCUCUUUCUCGAAACAUAUUCCACAGUUGCCCAUCCUGCUUCUCAGGUUUGAAGCCUCGUUCCUUCACAAAUGCCUUUGUCACUAUUCUAUAGUACUCCAUUUGUGCCUCCAGACUGAGAAAUUUCGUAUGAUCCACAAUAUCCUUGCCUUGACUACUGGAGGAAGAUGAUGAUGAUGGAGUGACAGAACGUGCACGAUUAGGUCCCAUUUGAUAUUGAUGAAGAAGAAGAAAACUUGUUUGAUAUACUCGUGAGUGAUAUAUUCGCUGCACAGAGAACCCCCAAACUUAUAUUGCACAACCCUCUGAAGCCCUAGUUUUAUCAGUGUAGAUGUUGAACAUGGGUAGGAGAACUGAUGCGAUAAUCAAGCAGUGGAGAUGAGACGUUCCACCUUCAAUUUGGAACGGUUUGGAAAGGAAGAGUCGUGCGUGUUUUUGAGAACAAUGAAAUACGCUCUUUGUUAUUUCAAAUGAUGGAAGAAUGGGGUAAGACACGUCUUUAAAUCAAAAAAAAAUUUCAAAUUCGGUGUCGAGCGCGGUCGCGCGGUUUCAUGAACACGCAUUGUGAGUUCCCCUUUUUGAACGUCUAUCAAGGUUCUUCCUGUUGCUAGGAAUGGUCUUCCAAGUAUGAUUGGUAUACUCCUAUUUUUUUCAUAAUCUAGAAUGAUGAAAUCAGUCGGAAAGAUGAAUUUAUCCACUUUUACCAAAACAUCUUUAACAAUUCCCCGUGGAUAAGUGGUCGACCUGUCAGCUAACUGUAACGAAAUAUUUGUCGGCCUUGGAGCCGGCAAUCCCAACUGAUUAAAUACUGACAAGGGCAUCAAAUUGAUACUAGCCCCAAGAUCACACAAACAUUUACUGAAGCUCAUCUUUCCAAUUGUGCAUGGUAUUGUGAAACUGUCCGGAUCCUUCAGCUUUGGAGGUAAUUUGCGUUGAAGCACUGCACUGCAUUCCUCCGUCAAGGCCACUGUUUCAAAUUCUUCUAAUCUCUUUUUCCUUGACAAGAUACCCUUCAUAAAUUUUGCAUAACUAGGCAUCUGUUCCAAUGCCUUAGUGAAAGGUAUGUUAAUCUGCAGCUUUUUGAAUACCUCCAAGAACUUACUAAACUGCCCGUCUUCCCUCUGCUUAUGCAAUCUCUGUGGAGGGAGAACUAUUGGUAUUUUAUUCACGGGCUUCUCAAAUGAACCUUCUUUAUUCAUCUCUUCUCGCUGUUGUCACCUUAUUCAUUUCCUCUUCAGACAAUUUCUCGACCGCGCGGCCGUGCGUCUACCCUCUGUAAAAAUGGCGCGGACGCGCCAUGCUGAUUUUCUGCAACCUGUUUUCCAGACCUAAGUGUAAUCGCUUGACAUUGUUCCUUCCCUUCCCUUCUUGGAUUUGCCUCUGUGGUACUUGGCAAUGAACCCUGUGGUCUGUUAUUAAGCAUGCUCGCCAUCUGACCCAUUUGAGUUUCCAGAUUUUUAAUAGCCACUGCUUGACUUUUAAUCAUCACUUCCGUAUUUGCUAUGUACUUCAUCAUCAUUUCCUCCACCUCUAACUUCUUUACUUGCGGAGGUGCUGGUGGUGUAUGAUGUUGUUGAGAAAAUCCAGGUGGGUACGGUGGUCUUGGUGCAAACUGUUGCUGAGCUUACUGUGACUGAAAUUGGUUGUGGCUGAAACUGACUUUGUUGAUUGCCUUGGUUAUUGGACCAACUAAAAUUUGGAUGGUUGCGGUUGUUGGCACUGUAUGUGUUCUGAAAUUGACCUUGAUCCUUCUUAUAGUUGCUCACAUAUUGCACAGACUCCGAACUGAUAGCACAUUGGUCUGUUGAAUGUGACCCUGCACAUAUCUCACACACAAAAGCAACCGUCUUCGCUUUAGUGUCUGUCAACGAAUCAAUCUUCUUUGCCAUAGAUGCCAUCUGUGUUGACAAUUGAGUGAUAGUAUCCACUUCUAACAAACCUGCAACUUUGGGCUGUGGCUUCCUGGCUGAAGGAUUUUGGAAAUCAUUAGCUGCCAUCGUCUCUAUGAGAUUAUAGGCCUCUUCAUAGCUCUUCGCCCAUAGAGCUCCUCCUGCAGCUGCAUCUACAAUCGGCCUUGACUGCCAUCCCAAUCCAUUAUAAAAUGUGUUGAUAACCAUCCAAUCUGGCAUGUCAUGGUGUGGACACUUCCUUAGCAUUUCCUUAUAUCUCUCCCAGGCUUCAUAUAAUGAUUCACCAUGUUGCUGCUCAAACUGGGAAAUUGUUGUCCUCAUCUUUGCAGUCUUACCCAUUGGAAAUAAUUUGGCUAAGAAUUUCUAUGCUAGGUCCUCCAAUGUGGUAAUAGAUCCCGAAGGUAAAGAGUGAAGCCAACUUCUAGCUUUAUCCUGCAAUGAGAAUGGAAAUAGUCCAAGUCUGAUUGCAUCCUCUGUCACCCCGUUGUAUCUGAAAGUAUCAUAUAUUUCAAUGAAGCUCAAUAUGUGUUCAUUUGGAUCGUCUGUAGCAGCACCCCCAAACUGUACCGAAUUCUGCACCAUUUGAAUAGUGCCCGGCUUAAUCUCGAAGGUGUUGGCUGCUAUCGCUGGUCUGACUAUACUUGACUGCAAUCCAUUAAUAUUCGGCAUCGAAUAAUCUCUUAAAUCUCUGUGCUCCUCCCUUUGCUCGUCUCUUUGUUCUGUGGCUGCCAUAUUAGAUGUUGUGGUCUCUAACUCUGCUUGUAUAUUUCUACGUGCUCUAGAUUUUCAACCCCUACCGUUGAUGUUGUCCUGUAAAUGUGUUAACUCAGAAUUGGAGGAUCGAGUGCCCAUAUACUAUAUACAAGUGCCUGAAACAAAAAACAAAAAUAGAAAUGAGACAAGAUUAGAAUUACGUAAGUUAUAAAAUUUAGCUUAAAAUUGGUGAUAAUAAUAAUAAUAAAAUUAAAUGCCUCUCCCCGGCAGCGGUGCCAAAAACUUGUUGCCUCCUUUUUAGUCUUAACAAAAGGACUAACUCAUGCAAGCAUACAUGGGUCAACAAGUAGUACACAGUAAGAACAAUAUCGAUCCACAGAGAAAUGUUUUAAAAUUAAACUAUCAUACACCAAUUGUAUUACUAUUUUUAUAUGCUUAAACGAAUAAUCCACAAUUAUGUUUAAUUUAUAUUCAAUUAAUGAAUAAAAACACAAGACUAAUUUAAUGAAAUCAAAUUUGGAAAUAAUGGGAUUCUAACUUCAUUUCAUAUUUCUUCUAAAUAUUAUCAUCAUGCACAAUUAUACAUUUAUCAUGGACAAUUAGCUAAGAGCACAAAAGUAAACAUAAUCAUUUUUCAAUGAAUUAUGACCUGUUUACAUAACAUCCACAUUACGAUAGAAAUCAUGUAAUCGACAAUAAUGCCAAAAUCACUAUAUUCCUAUGUGAAAUUGUAACAAUAUUGAAUUGAAGCACAAACUCUUAUAUUACUACACACGGUGAAACAGUAUAUUUUUAUCUGGUUCACGAAAUAUAAAGCUAAACAUUUCAGCCUCAUAAACGCAUGCUAUCAUGAUUACAACCAUGCUCACAUGUCAUUUUUCAAUUGCAUAAAAGCAUAUAAAAUGAAUGAUGAUCAAACAUUCAUGCAAUCCAAUCAAUCAUAACAGAAUUUCCAAUGAUAAACGAACAAUCAAGCAUUCAGGCAACUAAUUAUAACUACAUAUCAAAAUACGUUAGAAUUCCAUAAUGGAAGUUAAAUCAUUUCUGAACCGAAAGCCAUUAUGGGAUUAUAGUAACACAUGGAAAAUAAAUAAUGUAAUUCAAAGAGAAGAUAGAAUUGAUCAAACCCAAUUGCAGAUUAUGUGCCAAAGUGCUGUUUUAAUCUCCAAUAAUUUUCAGCAAAAUGAAAUGAGUUAUUGUUCAAAUGACUGAAUUCCAAAAGAAGAUGAAGAAAAUCUUUAGUUUAUGCUCAAAUCUUCCUUUGAAAUUAGUUCAAAGCUACUAACCCUAAUUACCUUAAUAAAAAACUAAUAAAAACCAAUAUAACCACGUCUGGUACCAACCAGAAUAGUUUCAGAUAAAACCAAUCUCAAAUUUCAAAUUCAAAAACAUAAGUCAAAUAACAGCUUCAGAUAACGCGCGUGACCGCGCGUGAUCGCAGUGCAAAAUGGGCGCGGGCGCGCGAUGUGUACCUUUAGCCUCUGUCUGCAUAUAGCGCGGGCUCGGGAAGAAUACUCUGUCAAGCAGCGCGGCCGCACUGCUUCUGUCUGCUGCAUACUGUUAUCUGCUGCUGUUGCUUCUUCCUCCAUCACUGCUCAGUUCAUUAUAUACACUCGUUUCACGUGCCAUUCCUUCGCUAGUCUCAUACCACCUACCAAUGCCGAGCAAUGCUAUUUCCUGCAUUUUCAUAUCAUAGGAGUUCUAAUUACAAGUAAUGUAAAAUAAACACAAAAUGCAAUUAAAAACAUACUAAAAUCUACUUGAGAUGAGCAUAAUUCUCGUGAAUUGAUAUUCAAAUAGUAAGUAUAAAACCUACUUAUCAGUUUCUCCCAUAGAUUACUCAAUGACUGCAUGCAUGCAAUUCAAGCAUAAUUUGGCUAUUGUUACUGAACAACAUUGUCAUUUGAUUUUCCAACUAAUGUGGGUUUGGAAUUCUUAACUGCUCAAUCUCAAUUUUUGGGAAAAAUAGUAAGAAAAAAUUUCAUGCCAGUUAGGGUGGCUAAAGGUUCAUGCCAGUUAGAUUACUCAAUGACUGCUAAAGGUUUAUGCCAGUUAGAUUACUCAAUGACUGCAUGCAUGCAAUUCAAGCAUAAGGUGUGUUUUACAUGAGUUUAUGACAUACAACCUAGUUUAUUUCAUUCUUACAUCCUUUGAACAUUGUUUUCAUCAUGACCGCAUGGGAUUUGGUUUUCUUCUGGCUUCUAUCUUUCACAUUUCUUGGAAUUGAUCUUCUUCCUCAUAAUUUCAAAUGAUUCCAAACAGUAAUAUUGUGUCACUUAAAUCUUCCUCCAAGACCUCUAGUUUCCUUCAAAACAUAUAAUCAUGAUCAUAUUGAAACUCACAGCAAUAUGAUUUCUCAACUGGAAACUCUUAGUACAAUGAAUCAACUAAUGUUUCAAAAUCCAGGAGGUAUGAUGCUUAAAAUUAAAGAAAUGCAACACACCAUUCUCCACCUCAAAGAAAAAAUACAUCUUCUGUUAGAAAGUCAACAAUUGCAUGUUCCCCCAUAUCAUUUCAUUUCAAGCACAAGUAAUGCUCCUGUUGGGACACUAGUAACAUCUCCUCCAGAUCUCUCUCUUUCUCACCUCUUCACUUAGAGGAGUACUUCUGACUAACUAUUCGGACAUAUAUAUAUAUUUGGGGAUGACUGUAACUAAUAAUUUACUAACCAUGUGUGCUGUCAUAUUUGCUUUAUUAUCUACAGAGAAUCUUCUUCUAACUUUUUGCUUUCCCCUCUUUUUAUAAUAACAAGGGGGAACAUGCUAUAUAUGCUAUUUUCAAAGAGAAGAAACAAAAGGCUUUAAAGCCUUUGUUUAUCCGAAUAAGAAAAAGGAAAUUUGGGCAUUAAAUUGUAUUGAUAUUUUUUUGUGGGGGUUGGGCAAAUUAUAACUUGUUACCAACUUAAGUAGGGCCCAAAGCUUAAAUGAGAAAUUGAUUUGCAAGAUUGGGAAUACUUGCCUGUUGACCAAAUACCAUGUUUGAAAUUUGUUUGUUUGUGAAUUACCAUCUUUGAAGCAUACAAUGGAUGAAUUCAAUCAUUGUUGUAAUUGAAAGUUCUCUGAUCACCUUGAUUGCAUUGCUGAUAGAUUUUGAUGUGUUUGAAGUCAUUGUCGAGUACUUGCUUACAGUCUCAUAGAGCCUUGUGCACUUCUCCAAUUUGACCUCUUCCUCCAAAUAUGUCUUUAUUUGAGCAUCAAUUGCAUCAAGUUUUGUUGCAUUGUUCAAUAGUGUAAGUUCUACAAAUUUCGUUGUAUGUCUGUUUGAGUUAAUCUUUCUUUUUGAAUCUGUUUUUUAUAUUUUUAAAUACAUGAUAUGUGCACGAACUAUGCAUGACAUUCGAAAACACAAAAUUCAGUCUUUAUAUAAUAGCUUCAUGUCUAUCUGAAACAAUGCAUUGACCUUCCCUAACUCGAAAAGUAAUUCUCAAAUUUACGAAAAAUCAUCUCCAAGGUAAUUCAUUUUCGCUGUCAACCACUGCAAAAGCAAUCGGAACAAUGUUUUUGUUUGCAUCCCGUGUGCUUGUUAUUAGGAGUGUUUCCCGUAAGUUUAUUGUAUGAACGUGCCGUCGAUUACAAUGAUUGAAAAACAAUGGUGCCAUGCUUGAAUGGAUCCUCUAAUGGCAAAGAAUAAAUACUUUCCAACUUCAGGGUUGUGACGGAACCUGAUAUGAAAUUUCAGCAAUGUCAUUAUAAUUAUAAGUAGCAUACAGUAUCCAAACUUGUAGUAGAUGGUAAUCAUUUAUAUGGUUAAUGGUAUCCAACUAAUUAACAUAUUAAUGUUUCUAAUACGGUGCAUAUGGUGUCCAAAAUAUCAUUAAUAUGUAAUCUUUUGUGUAGUUAUCAUAUAUAAAAAAUGUAUUUAACAUAAUUUCAUUGUACAGUACAGUUAGUAACUAAAUUUGCAUAAUAAGGUAAUUAAGUCAACUUGACUUGAGUAACUAACUAAUUAUGAAAAAUCAAUAAUUUUUUUGAAGUGUUAUCUAAAUUUAUUUUUUUUAACAUGUACAACUAUGAUGAGGUUAGUGAGUAGUUGUGUGGAUUUUCUCAUCUUUUUUAAUGUUUUCUUUUUUAAUCUCCAUGCUUUUUGGUAAGAUAUAGACACAUUAUAUUCUGUCAUCAUGUCCUCCAUAAUAUCUAUUAGUGUUUAUAUUUUUUUCAAAUUUGUUAAUUUGUGCAUUAUGCAUUCAUUAACCAACUCACUAUUUGCCUGUCUGUGGUCUUCCAACAAUAUGUUGACUGAACACGUGUGGAUGUCAUUGAAUUCUCUCAUCUUAAACAUACUGGUUUUUCGAAACCUUGAUGAUGAAUUUGAUUGAUCAUUAGUGCUGAAUUUCAUGUUGAUUUGAUUGGCGUUACAUUGUAAAUUUUAGUUUCUUUAACAUUUAUCAAGUUCUGCAAGAUUGUUGUGUGUCCCUUACUGUGUUCAUUAUCUAUAAUCAGUAGGAACUUGCCUUGUUCAUCAGAUUUUUUACCGACUUUCAUAAAAAAUCUAAAGGUUGCUUCAUCUGAUAUACUGAUCGGUGGAAUGUCGCUUUUAAUAUGAAAUUUGAUUGACAAUGUUGUUGUGUUUGUGUCUAGCCGUAAUGCACUGUUUAUCAAGUUCUGCAUUUCUCUGAACAAAUUAGUUGAUAGAACUAGUAGGCCGGUAACUUCAAAUUUAUUGUAUUGGUUACUGUUAGACCACGUUCAGUUGAAAUUCCAGUUGUACUUUAUUUCAACUGAACGUGGUCUAACAGUAACCAAUACAAAACAAAUUUAAAGUUAUCGGCCUACUAGUUGCAUCAACUAGUUCGUUUAGAGAAAUGUAGUGCAGUACGGCUAGACACAAACACAACAACAUUGUCAAUCAAAUUUCAUAUUAGAAGUGACAUUCCACCGAUCAGUAUAUCAGAUGACGCAAUCUUUAGAUUAUUUAUGGAAGUCGGUAGAAAAUUUUAUGAACAAGGCAAGUUCUCACUGAUUAUAGAUAAUGAACACAGUAGGGGGACGCACAACAAUCUUGCAGAACUCGAUAAAUGUAGAAGAAACUAGAAUUUACGAUGUAACGCUAAUCAGAUCAACACAAUGGAAUUCAGCACUUGUUCCACUAGCAACACAAGAUUGCAACUCAAUAUGCUGAUUAGCUUGCCAUGGAAGUUAUUGAACAACAAUAAGACAGACAACAUGACAGAUCAUACAAAGAAUAAUUGGAUGUAAUAACAGAUCUGAAUGAACGUGAAGUAAAAUUACAUCAAACUUACAAAGACAAAAAAUUAUAUCACAAACAACGAGUUUGCAUUCAAUUAGGAAAAACAGACAACAUAAAGUUGAUCGAACAGGUUGUAGAGACUGUGCUAGUGUGCAUAGAUAAUGAAAAUUGCAGAUGGAAGAUGAGAGCAUCAAGGUUUUGAAAAAUCAGUAUGUUCAAGGUGAGAAUUCAAUGACAUCCACACGUGUUCAGUCAACGUAUUGUUGGGAGACCACAGACAGACAAAUAGUGAGUUGGUUUAUUAAUGCAUAAUGCACAAAUUAACAAAUUUGAAGAAAAUACACAUCAACAGAUAUUGUGGAGGACAUGAUGACAGAAUAUAAUGUGUAUAUCUCUUACCAAAAAGUAUGGAGAUCAAAUGAAAAAGUAUUGGAAAAGGUGAGAGGAAAUUCACACGAUUAUUCAUUUGAUCCCAUCAUAGUUGCACAUGUUGAAGAAAAUAAAUUCAAGUAACACUUUAAAACAGUUUAUUGGUUUUUCAUAAUUAGUUGGUUACACAAGCCAAUUGACUUGAUGGAGUUGGAAACAAAUAGUCGUUUCAAGUAUUUAUUCUUUGUCAUUGGAGCAUCCAUUCAAGCAUGACACAAUUGCUUUUCAAUCGUUGUAAUUGAUGACACGUUCAUACAAUCAACUUACGAGGGACACUGCUGAUAGCAAAGCACACUGGAUGCAAAUAGAAACAUUGUUCCGAUUGCUUUUGCAGUGGUUGACAGCGAAAAUGAAUUAUCUUUGAGAUGGUUUUUUGUAAAUUUGAGAAUUGUUUGUCGAGUUAGGGAAGACCAAUGCAUUGUUUUAGAUAAACAUGAGUCCAUUUUACAAGGACUAAAUUUUGUGUUUUCGGAUGUCAUGCAUGGUUCGUGUACAUACUAUGUAUUAAAAAAUAUAAAAAAUUGAUUCAUAAAGAGGAGGAGAACUCAAACAUGCAUACAACGGGGCUUGUACACUAUUGAAAAAUUUAACAAACAAAUGGUUGGAGAAGUGCACAAGGCUCCAUAGGACUGUAAACAGGUACUUGACAAUGACUUCAAACAUAGCAAAAUCUAUCAACAAAACAAUCAAGGUGAUUUGGGAACUUCCAGUUACAACAAUGAUUGAAUGCAUUCGUUGUAUGCUUCAAAAAUGGUAUUUCACAAAUAAACAAACAAUCAUAUGAUCAUUCACUACACUUUCCACAACAGCUGAGGGGAGGUUGCAAUCUAAUAUCAUUAAAUUAAAGAAAUUUAAGGUAACUAAUAUAAAUUUUCAAUCAUUAAUGUUACCAAUAUUACAUAAAACUGCCAUUAUCUCGAUGUAAACAAACUAAAUAUUUAUGCAUACUAACGACACUUAAUUUGUGUUGAAGGUUGAGACAUCAAACCUAGUGAUUUUCAAUAUUUACGAUGUCAUUAAACAAUAUAGUUUGGACAUCAAACAAAGGAAAUGCACAUGCUUAAAUUUCAGUACCAUAAGAUGCCUUGUUUGCAUGUUGUUGCUGUUAUCACCAAGUAGAAUUUAAGCUGUUGUUACUUUUGCUCAAAAAAUUACUCAAAAACAACUUUGGUAGACACAUAUUCAACUUCCAUACUGUCGUUAGAUGACAAAGAGAAUUUGGAUGUAUCAGAAGAAGUAAGAAACAUGUGUAAAACCAUCGAACAUAAGAAGACCAGCGGGAAGACUAAAGAUAGGGAGGUACAAGCACAGAUCUGAAAACAAAAUUUAAAACAAAUGCAGCAGGUGCCAAGAAAAAUGACACAAUAUGAAAACAUGCAAUAAUCCACCGGUUUUAAGACCAAUAAAGGUAUGAUAUAGUUCAUAAACAAAAAGAGUGUAAAUACAGGAAGACUCUUCCAGAAGAUUGAUGUGAAUUGCAGAUCUCUAUCUGAUACAAUAGAUACCGGCACCCUAUGCCUCGAGAUAAUUUCCUUGACAUACAAUUUGGCUAACUGGUCCAAACUAUAUUUAAUCUUAAUCGGCAAAAAGUGAGAUGACUUAGUAAGACGAUCUACAAUCACCUAUAUGGCGUCGUGCCCUUUCUGCGUUGCUAUUAGUCUCACCACAAAGUCCAUUGUGAUGUGCUCUUAUUUCCAUUAUGGACUCUCUAAUGGUUGUAAUAAUCCGAUUGGUCGUUGGUACUCUUUCUUGACUCUCUGACAAGUUAGACAUCUACUUACGUAUUUUGCAACCACUCUCUUCAUGUUUGGCCACCAGAAGUUGUGACGCAAAUCUUGGUGCAUCUUCGUGCUUCUUGGGUGUAUCGAAUAUCUAGUACUGUGCGCUUGCAAAAUCUCUUCUCUCAACUUUGGUACUAACGGUAUCCAAAUUCGUCUUUCAAAUCUUAGUAGUCAAGUGCUAUCAAUCCUAAAUUUCAGUUCAUCACCUUCAGUCAAUCGCUUCUUGAUGUUAUUGCAAUCUUUGUCCUUCUCUUGUGCCUCUUUAACCUUAUCCAAUAAAGUCGAGCUUGCUGUCACUUUAAUAAUUGUUCGUUGGUCUCCAUCGGAUACUUAAUCUCUAAAUCUAGUCGUUCGAAAUCUUUCACCAAUUCUUCUUGAAUUGUUAACUUCAAUAACUUCUCUCUGCCUCUAAACAACAUACGAUAACUAAAAUGCGGAAUAUAAUAAACGUACGUUGUUCAUUCAAAAGGUGUUACUAGUCCCAAGAUUCGAUAACCUUAAUACAAUCUUAAAAACAUACCUUAAAAUAAUAAUUAGGGUUCAUAUUACAUAACAGUAAUUUAAACUAGGCAUAAGGUAAAGUUUGCUCCUCGCAACUAUACUACAUCUUUCCUUUACCCUUCUUCUUCCUUGAGGUCUCGGGCUUAACUGCAAUAAUAAUUCAUGAUAUAUCUAUCAUGAUGAAUGGAAAAUAUCUGACAAUGAAUUCAACAGUAUGAAUAUCUGAAUGAUUCAACAAUAUGAAUAUUAGAAGCAAAGAUAAUGAUUGCUUUUAGAAUAACUGAUAGUCAAGUAGACUUUGAACUAUAAAACUUCAAUGGAAUCAAUAGUUGAUUGACCCUUUGGUUACUGGCUACAGAAUAAGUAUUUGAGGGGAUCAGCUUCGCGUACACCAUGUAUAUGCAUAACAUUUAAAUCUGCUCUUUGUAUCUUAUAUUAGAUACCUGGGGUACUCCCCUAUCAAAAAGGGUGUUCUUUCAGUCUAAGAACCCUUAUCAUCAAUUGGUUUGGAUAGCUUUUAUAGAAAAUUUCAUACACUUGUCUGACCGAACAAAGGUUCAGACUCCAUUUGACACAGUUCAAAAAUUAUAGAACUUUAAAUGAUGUACAAGUCCAAGAUUGUACGAACUCAAGUGCACUAAGUGCGAAUAUCAAUAAUAUCGAUGUGGAAUAAUUGUAUAGUAAUUAAACCACUUAAUAGCAUGCUUGGAAAUAAAGUUCAAGAUUAAAUGAAUAACUUUCAAUUCAACAAUAACCUGCUCAAUACAAUAUUAGAAGGAUAGGAAACUUUCACAAAAACAAGUGAAGUUUAGCAAUUUGCACAAUAUUCAAAGUUGUGUAAGUUGUGUAAGGUAGAGAAUUUGCACAAUCAAAGAGUAAAGUUCAGAGAAUUUCUCAAUAUAAAAGAGAGUUUCAGAUACUUGCAUUCAACAUACAAAUCACAUGAAAUUCAAGAACUUGCACAAAAUUCAAAGUUGUGCAAGUUAGGAAACUUGUCUGUUUGCUCAGCUACAAUUUAAUUCUAGCUUUAAUUAACUUGCAUUGAAACGAUCUAACAUUAACAAGUCGGUCUUCAAUUAGUAUGUGUAAACUAAUAUGAGUCUACACUCAUAAGAAUCAAAUCAUCACAUAGCACUUCUAUACAUGUGUCAUUACAUUACCCGAUUAGUUUCUAACACACUAUGUCAUAGUCGAAAUCAAUAUUGACUUUAAAGUUGUAAACACUAAUUCAUCACAUGUCCCUUUCAAUAUCAUGCUUACUAUUACAUGAAUACUAUACUAGACAUGUAUUACAUAUUAAAGUAACCAUAUAUGCAUGCAUCAGUUCUCCAUUUAUUAACAGAACACAAACCUCAUUGCAGGACGACGCGGUCGCGCUUGGUUUGUACUGAGGAGUGGCGCGGUCGCGCUGCUCCUGGUGCAAACCAAGACAUGGCUGCUCCUGCAGAAAGCCAGUGUACACAUGUCUUGCACAUAUACGAAUAAUCAUGCAAAACACAUGCCAGUGCGUGGAUAACUAAGUUUGACCCUACAUUCUAUCUUUAACAUAGGUCAUUAUCCAUCCUCAUUAAAUCAAUACUUUAAAGUGUUCUAUUCACAAUUUUCUUACGUUCGAUUGUUAAACACAUACUAUAUGAUCCAAAGGUCUUAACAACACAUGCUUGCAUGUAGUUCAUGUACACAUAGUUAAUAUAGUCUCUUACUUGCAUUUUUUUUUAAUUCAUGCAUGACUACACCCUACCCCCUCCAACAAUGUAAACUAACAUUUUGGUCACAUUUUAAUGUAUAUAAGAACUUGAUACAUUGGCGCAAAAAGUCAGAACAUGUAUUAUGCGAUGUUUAUCAAAAUUUAGUUUCCAAAUCCUUAUACUUUGAACGUUUAUACUUAAAUCAGCUAACAUGGCUUACUAUAUCCAUAGCACAUCUCAGUACAUGUGUUAAGGUUGUUUAUAGGCAUAUAAUAACCAAAAUAGCAUGCUCAGAAUGAAACAAGAUCACAAAAUUACUACACAUGACUUGCAGCCGGCGCGAUCAUGUACUAAAGAAGUGGUGCGGUCGCGCCACUUCGAGCAGAACAAAGAAAUGAAGGCUCUGCUUCUGCAGAGCUUCAUCACAACCCAUGCCAAAUCUGUAUCCAGACAACUACAAAGCUCCUUGACUUGCAAACAAACUCAUACAACACAAUGACAUGCUAUUCUAUAUCAAUUAACAGAGAAUUCUUGAGAAUUGUAAGAAUUUGUCAAAAUCCAAUUCAAGAACAUAAGUUAGAAUUUAUACCUCGUUAAAGCUUAGUUUGCUUAAUUACUCCUUUCUGAGAUUGCUAGACUCUUCUUUGACAACAACUCACUCAUUCUCAAUUUAUCAGAGGUUCCACAGAAAAAACAAAACAAAAUCAACGAAAACUUUGAGAAUUGGACUACUAUUUAAAGAUCUUUGGACUGGGAAUUAGCUUUGCAUGGAAGGUUGAGACUGGAAAGUAGAAGGAGAAUACACUGGUUUUCAAGGGGUUGUUCAACCACCCAUCAUCAACUAUCUUCCUAGCCAAUGAUCGCAGACUUGGAAGUUACGUAUUUUUGUUUUAGGUCACUCUGUUCAUGUACUUUUGUGACACUUAAUUUGGGACAAAAGCAAAAUCUCAGCAACUUCAUCAAUUAAGGAUUAGUUUGGUUCUUUUAAUUCCCACAAUGUAACUUAAUGUACAAUUGUUACCAUAUUAGGAAUUUAAGGAUUAAUUAAAUACACAUCAUAUAAUCCAUGUACAUUAAAUACACGAAAUAAAAUAACGCAGUUAGGUAUUAUUGUCCGGGUAGCUCCAUAAUUAUUUUUGCUACUCACAUAAAUGCAAUAACUCUUACUAUAUAGUCUAUAUAUAUAAUAUAUAUAGACAUAUUAAUGUGUCACCUUGUACUAUAAAAUAUAUAGUUAACUACCAUAUAAUAAAUGUUUACUAUAUUGCAUGCUUGCACAAAUUAAUCAAGUAAAUAUAAUAUAAUUAUAUUAAUUAACUCUUACUCAUUAAUUAUUAUUUAUUCACAAUAAUUAUUAAUCAACACAUUAUCAAUUAAUUAUCCAUAGUUGAAAUUAAUUAAUAUGUUCAAAUCCUGCCACUAUAUUUAAAUAAAUUGAAUAUUUAAUUAAUAAUCUUAUCAAUCCUUUGAUAUUAAAAUCUUACGGUUAGUCAACUAAUUUAAAUAAACUAUUAGUGACUCCCUUUAAUAAAUUCAUAUAACCACAUAAGGUUUAAAUAAACUUACAAAACUAACUCAUAAAAAUUAAAUCAUAUAUUUAUUUAAUAAGGAGUUUAAAAUUCACGGUUAUUACAGUAACCAAAUAGUUUUAUGAAAAUAAUCAGAACAUGUUUUAAUGAUAACCAAAACAGAAACAACUUGUACAUCCAACCUAGUUUAGGCAACCCAUGUAUACUUUCACAUGUACAUUUAACACAUAUAUUCUUAUACAAGCUUCGUAACUAUCUGGUCACCACCAAAAAAUAAAAUGGUUACCCUUCUAUACAUGUUUGGUUACCAACUGCACCUUUCAAACAAUGUAUCGGACACAACUUAGAAGUAACAAAUACGAACCAACAAACAAUAUUUUAACAUCAUUAACAUACACACUAAACUAACACAAGUCCGAUAAGCCUGACCUGCAAACAAGCAGACCUCACUGUCUCAGUUCAGGGUGUGGCGCAGCUGCGCCACACUUAGACUUGGGACCGGCGCAGUUGCGCCGUUUUUUGCCUUAGCACCAGCGCAGCUGCGCUGGUGCAUAGAUAGACGCAGAGACGGCAGUGAACAAUAGCCGUUUUUAGCCCAAUAAAUAUAAAUUUCACCCACCAAACAGUGAAAUUAACAUCUACAAUUGGUACAGACUAUUACAAACAUGAUUGUUAACAUUUACAAUCAAUUAACACAAUUUAUCAUCAACUAAAACUAGUUUAAUUUCUCAAAAUUCCAUGUUUUCAUACAAAACUCCAUUUUUGAACAUCUUACACAAAAAUCAUCACUGACAUCUCAAAACUUGGCCAAAACACUUAAUUCAAAUUACGUUACGUUCGUAUCUUAAUAAACUACCAUAUGCAAGCGUCAAUUUACAGUUUUAUACACAAAUUGACCACUAAAAUUGGUACUUUCUAAGGCCAUAACAUAUGAACAUAAACACUGUUAUUUCCGUUUUCUUCCUACAUCCAAUUUCUCGCAAUUUGAUAACUAAUACAACAUGCAUACAAGAUGACAACAGAUUCUACAACUUAAUUCACACCAUAUACACAACGUAUGAGCCACAAACCCACAAAAUCAAUUUAUAGAGAAUAGAAAAUCACAAGUCUGAGAAUUAGAAUUAGUUGUACCUUAAUCUUUGAUUAUUGGCUAGCAUAAGAUGAUAACAAGGUUUAGCAAUCCUCUUCUUCCUCUUGAAAUCUCAGAACAAUCUCUCAAGCUCUCAUUCUCAAUCUCCUCUGUAAUUCUCUCUUCCUCUGCUUUUCUAUGCUAACAAGCCUAAGGGAAAAAAAUAAGACGCGUAUGCCAUAUGGCCUCUCCCACGUUCCUUACGUUAGAAAAAUAAAAAGUCUCCGUCAGUUGAAUAAGCCAAAGGCCACAAGGCCUUGUUUGGCUACCACAUAUUUUUUCUAAACCAAUUUAUUUUUAUAUUAUUUAUAUUACAUAGUUUCCAAUUGUCACACAUGUAACCAUUUUAACAAUUUAUACUAAUAAUAAUAAAAAUCUUAUUAUUAUUACACUUAUAAUUUAAUAAAUAGUUAUAUAUCUAAUUUAAUUAAUAAAUUAGACACACCACUUUAUUUAUUUUAUUUAUUUCCAUUAAAUUAAACAAUUCAUUUAAUUUAAUUAUUUUCUUAAAUAUUAAGCAAUUGAUUUAAUUUUAUUACUUUCUUAAAUUAAAUCCAUUAGAUAAAAUUAUCAUUAUUCAAAUUAACACUAAUUAAUUUAGUUACCAAAUUAAUUCAUCAAUUAUUUAUUUCUUUAAUAAAUAAAUUAUUUAAAAUAUUUAUUUAAUUCAAUAAAUAUUUAAAUUAAAUUACAAAUUUUUCAAUCGUUACAAGUCUCAUGUUAAAUGUCCACUUUCUUUUAAUAACCAAAUUUUUACACAUUUUUUCUUAUUAUGCUUGUAGCAUUAAAUAUCUCAUAUUUUUCUUAUUCUAACUCUCUCUACAUAUUUAAUAAGUAUGGAGAGAUAAUAUUUUGAAUUGAAUAGCUAGAAAGUCAAUUCUCUCACCUACAUUGAAAAUAUCUAAUGACAUUAUUAUGGAUAAUUUUGUCAUUUCAUUCAUCUUCUUAAUAUGCGUAAAAAGUCCACCAGGACUUUUAUCUUAGGACGGAGAGAGUAGUAACCAGACCAUAAUUUAAUAUUACCCAAAACAGAAACAUCAUGUAAUCAGCCAUAAUUUAAGAAACCUGAAUGUACUAAACAAAUAUCUAGUAAUCAAAUAUAAUAGUAACAAACACUUUACUUCGAUUGAACAUUAAUAGAAAUCAAAUAUAGCGUAAUAGUAACCAUAAUAUACUAUAGUAGUAACCAAAACCUAAUAUGACAGAAACAUCAUGUAAUCAAAACCAAUUUAAGCAACCUGUGUAUACCAAACAAUUACAUAGUAACUAAAAAUAUAAUAUGAUAGUAACCAAAAUUCCAUUUUGAGUGCACAAUAGUGGUAUCCAAAUCAUAAUAUAACAGUAACCAGAACAUGAUAAAGCAGUAACCAGAACACAACAUAAUAGUAACCAGAACAUUUAUUUAAUAUUAACCAUUUGUUUUUACAGGAAAACAAAUUUAUUUGUUUUAUAAAAAACUAUACCAUUGUUAAACAACAAAAAACAAACCUUUUCUUGUUGUUUAGUCCAAUUUUAAACCAUUGAUCAAACAACGCCUCUUCAUAUUUUGACGGCAUGACCAUGCAUAUUUUUGGGAAUGCAAAAAGACCUACAAUUAUUUGACUAGCACUCGCGGUGGUAGACGAUGAACCAAUCGGUCCAAACUUUGUCGUAUAUGGAGUCCGCAAAACGACACUCUUUGUAGGUUCACGGACCGGUCUACCACCGGGUUUAUGGUUGCUUUUCUCUAUCUUAUCACACUGAUUUAUGUCCCGAGUGGUCAGAAUCAUCUCAUCAAGUGCAUACUUGCUUUCUGCCUCGCAUUUAUCCCCCUUUAUCAAUUGACAGAAAAGGUAACAGAUACAAUUAGAUUUUUAACUCAAACACAUGCAGUUAACUAAUAUAUGCAAUAACAAACUGACUGAACAAUAGCCGACUGACUAUAAUGAACAUAUUAUAAUAGUAACCAACACAAAAUAUAAUAGUAACCAAAUCAUAAUAUAAUAGUAACCAACACACAAUAUAAUAGUAAUCAAACCACAAUAUAAUAGUAACCAUAAUAUAAAUAAUAGUAACCAAAUCACAAUAUAACGGUAACCAAAACCUAAACAUGUAAUAAAAAGAUGGCAUGUCAUUGUAACACUAAACACAAAAUAUAAUAGUAACCAAAUCAUAAUAUAAUAGUAACCAACACACAAUAUAAUAGUAAUCAAACCACAGUAUAAUAGUAACCAUAAUAUAAAUAAUAGUAACCAAACCACAAUAUAACGGUAACCAAAACCUAAACAACAUGUAAUAUAAAGAUGGCAUGUCAUUGUAACACUAUCCUUAGUAGCAACAUACACAACAAGCUUUUUCCCAGUAUAUUGGCUUAAUAUAUCAAAAGAUGGCAUGUCAUUGUUCUUGCCAAUUUGUAAAAAAUAAAAAACAACUAAUUAACCAUUAAAACAAAACAUAUAUAACACAUAACAAAACAAACAAAUAUGUCAGCAUCGUUCCCAUUGAAAAAGUGAACGCCGCCCAAAUCCAGUUGAUCCUUCUCCUCGGCCGUGGGAAUCAAGCUUUUUAUUCUCAGCUUAAAAACAUUAAGUAUACUUUAAUAUAGCAUCCAACAAACAUUAUACAAUUAAAAAAAAUAGUACAUAAAGAAUCAUAAAAUAUUAUCAGUAACCAACUAUAUAUGUAAAGGUAACCAACUACAUUGUUAUUAGUAAACUGCAUAAAAUAUAAUAAGUACCAACUGUGUAUAUUCAGGUAACCAACUAUAUUGUUAUUAGUAACAUGCAUAUAAUAUAAUCAGUAACCAAAUGUGUAUAUAAAGGUAACCAACUACAUUCUUAUUAGUAACUUGCAUACCUGUCCAAAACCAAAUACUAAAUCGUUCAACUUGUCAUUUGUGGGGGGCUUCACUAGUUCCUUCCAUCUAAAUAAUCGAACAUCCGACGGAUGCUCGUCAUUACAUAUACCCCGAGCUUUGAAUGUCGGAAUGGUUUCAAACAAGAAAACUUGGAAGACAUAAGGAAGUCCAUUCAACUUGUAAGAUUUAGUAUAAUGCUCCUUAUUGAAAUUAUAUAUCCAACCACCAUUUUUUCCUUUCUUCAAACGCCCCUUCAAAGCAUUCGACAAAGAGUAUUUGUCUGCUCAAAUGCCACUUUCCCCCAAGGAUAACUUCUAACAUCACCAAAACAUAAAAAGUUAAUCAUUGCCCCAUCCAUAUAGUUAUCAAAAACGGUGGAUAGUAUGAAAUUAAACACCAACAUAAUCAUCGACAUCUUCACAGCCUCAUCAUUAUCGUCAAAAACUACCUCCCGAUAUACCCUCCCUAUGCUACUACGCGUCACAGCCUCGUUCCCAAAAAACUUUUCCACCAGCAGAUUUUCCAUACCUUUGUAUGCAGAUAUGUCAUCCUCACCUUGCCAUCUCAAACCAGAAAUCAGACAGAACUCUGGCAAACCAAACCUGAUCCUUUUCUCCCAGAACAGAAAUCACAUUUCACCGUCGUCCCUUUGGUGAACCUCCCUCACAAGAGUACGGUGAAGAAUCUGGGAAUACAAUUGUUCACUAAAAUUAAGAAAAUUCCCAAAAUAUGACGUCUUAAACUUGUCCAACUGACUUUGGUUCAGUUUUCAUAAUAAUACCGGGGACUUCCAUGUCACACCAAUAUAUUAUUUUUCCAGUGAAAUUUUUGUUGUGUUCCUAAUAAUAAAGAUCACAUAUCUACAAAUAAACAAAAUCAGAUUUAAACAGUCAUUGGAAACCAAUCUAAACAAUAUUUAUACCUUAAAUAGUUACCUAGUAACCACCAAAUAAUAUCAUAGUAACCAACACAUAAUAUAACAAUUACACAGUAACCAUACCAAAAUAUAAAAGUAACCAACAUCCCACAUUGAGGGCACAAUAAUAGUAACCAAAUCAUAAUAUAAUAGUAACCAUAAUAUAAUAAAGCAGUAAUCAAACAGUUAUAUUAUAGUAACCAUCACAGAAUUUAAUGGUAACCAAAAUAGAAACCAUGUAGUCAAACCCAGUUUAGGCAAGCCAUGUAUACCAAACAAUUACAUAGUAACCAUAACAAAAUAUAAAAUAACCAUAAUCCCACAUUGAUGGCUCACUAAUAGUAGCCAAAUCAUAAUAUAACAGUAACCAAACAUUUAUAUAAUAGUAACCAGUAAAGAAUUUAAUGGUAACCAAAACAAAAACAUAUAGUCAAACUCAUUUUAGGCAAGCCAUAUAUACUACACAAUUACAUAGAAACCAUAACAAAAUAUAAAAAUAACCAAAAAUUCCACAUUAAGGGCACAAUAAUAGUAGCCAAAUAAUGCUAUAACAGUAACCAAAACAUACUAAAGAAGUAAUCGAACAGUUAUAUGAUAGUAACCAUAACAUAUUUUAAUGGUAACCAAGACAUGUAGACCAAACCCAGUUUAGGCAACCUAUGUAUACUAAACAAAUGCAUAGUAACCAGAACAACAUAUAAAAGUAACCAAAAUCCCAAAUUGAGGGAACAAUAAUGGUAGUCAAAUCAUAAGCUAACAGUAACCAACAUAUAAUAAAGAAGUAACCAAACCAUAAUAUGAUACUAACAAUAACAAAAUUUAAAUUAGCACACCUUUAGAAUUUUUUGUGUGGAGAUUAUUUUCUGGCUAUGAACUUCACCUUCAGUUUUAAUUACAGAGACAUCAAAAGCAGACUCCAACUGCACUUCAUUAGGCUUUAUAUCACCAUGUAUCACCAACCUAUUAUCCUUCUUACUGGAUUUGUCACCUACAUUCUUCUCUUUCCUCGCCAUAUCAAACUUCUUUAAAUCCUUAACAGAAUCACCCCUCGUGAUUAUUUUCCUCUUUCCAUCCUUCUUACUUGUAUCAUCCAUUCUAUACAAAACAUAAAUACAACACAAACCCAAACAAUUAAAACUCCAUUCUGUUAGUAAACUACUUUAAUAAAUAAUACAUUAAACUAUUGAGCCAUUACUCACCUGUAACGAUCAAUCGAUAACAACUAUAUUAGAUUUCGAAAACUCCUUCACUGCAACCAGAAACGAGAAUAAACAGAAGAAAAUAAACCACUAUGCAGCAACGAUACCGAGCAAGUACGAGAAUGAUGAACAACUGAACUAAGAACGAUCACGAAAAUGAAGAACAAAUCACCAGUAACGAUCAAUGGAAGAAAACACGGACAGAAGAAAGUAAUAAGGGUUUCCAAGAGUCCUAUAGUAAACAACCCAGACAAAUGAUACGGGCGGUUAUCACGCAUUUAAAAAAAACCACCCGAUCGACUGAAAAUACGGGAACAAUUUUUUAAGUGAGACAUUGAUCUGCCAUGUCAGCUGAGCAAUACUAAUCCCCUAAAUUGAAGAAUCCUAAUUGUACUAAUAUUGUAAAUAAAUAUGGGAAAGUGUAUUAUUUUUGUAAUUAUUUUAUGUAUGCACCAUUAUUGUAAUUAUUUUUAAAAAUGUACUAAAAUAUAUAAUUAAUCUAAAAAAACCACAAACAGACCCAUCCCCCUCACCACCAACCCAGAGCUCCCCAACCCCCAAGCCCCAGCUCACAAGCCCAGAGCUUGGUCUAGGCAACCUGGGAUGGUCAGCUGGACUCAAUAAGCUGGCAUUAUCGUGCCUGGCCUGACCAGACCUAAUCAAUGGUCAGAGCCUGAGAAGCGCAAGAGCAAGACAUGACUGACGGUCGGAAUGUGCAAGCUAAGCCAGUGACCCAUUGGCCAUAGUAGAAGUCUAGAACUAUAAGCUCAACAUACGUGGCCUAUAAUUGUAGCCUGAAUUUUAAGCACCUUCCUUUAAACCAAUAAAAGUUUGGUCUAAUGGGCCUUUCUUAUAAGUUAUAGCCCAUGGGCCAACAAACAUAGGACAAAUAGAUGGGAAUUGGUAUUAUCAUAUAUAUAAAAAAGGUCCCUAGCUAGCAUUCAUGGCAAGCUUCUUGUUCAACACUUCAACCUCAAGUCUAGAAACUUUGAAAGUAUAUUUAUAAUAAAAAUAAAUAAAUAAGACACUUAUGCUACGUUUGGAUUGAAGUAAUGAAGGUGAGAAUAAAAUGACUCAUUCCUAUGGAAUGAAAAAAAUUGUGUUUGGUUGCGAUUAGAAUGAAAUGAACCAUUCUUAUUCCUCCAAACUUUAUGGAUUUUAUUCUUUGGGGGAGAGAGUAUGAAAUAACUUAUUCCAACUAGAAUAGAAUGAAUCAUUUUACUUUCUAUUAUAUUUCUUCAAUCCAAACGUAGCGUUAUAAUAAGAGGACCACUGGGAGAUUAAUGAGGUAGAAUCAGUGAAACAUUCAAUCUGCUUACAUUGACUAUAUGUUGUGACGAACGAGAUUUUGUAAUUUAAAUUUGAAUAUUUAUUGAAUUAAAUAAAUAUUUUUUGAUGAUUUAAUUAGUGUUAAAUAAUUAAUUGAUGAAUUUGUGGUAGAUUAAUUUAAUUAUAUGUGUUACAUUGAUUAAAUUAAUGUGGAGAAUUAUUAUUCAAAAGUAUGUAUUUAAUUAAGCUUAUUUGAUUAAACGAAUUAUUUAAUAAGCAUAAUAUUAUUCUAAUUAAUUAAAUAAUUAAUUAGAGAUUUAAUGAUUUGACAUAAUUAAUAAAUGAGAAUUUAAUUAUGUGACUAUGUGAAUUAAUGAGAAAUUAUUAUAUUUUAUUUAAAUUAAAUUAAAUAAAAUGUUUGAUUAAUUGCUUAAAUGGGUGUGACAUUAUUAAACUAAAUAAUAAGAAAUUAAUUAAAUUAAAUGGGAAAGUCUUUUAAAGGCUAGCCAAACAAGGCCUUAAGGGGAGUUGGCCAGUUAACCCAUGAAGGGAUUAAUUGACCACAACAGCGUCAGUUUAUUUGUACGUCUUCAGUUCAUUGUUCAUUCAUAUUUUUGCAAGCCUGAGAAAUCACAGAGAGUUUAGAGAGAAAUUUGAGGGAAAGUGUGAAUUGAAGAAGAAAUAGAGAAGAGUUUCAUCAUCCUUCAUAUACACAAACUAGCAGGGUAAUCUCUUCAACCCAAACUUCAAUAUACGUUCUUGAAGUUUAUUUCAGUUCUCUGUAAACUAAAAUUGAUGGCCAAUGUGUUAGGAAAUUAAUUAUAUAUGUUUAUUUGCAUGCAUAAUUCAAUUCUAUAUGAUUUGUUUGUGAUUAGAGUAUUCGAUUUCAUGUAAACAUGCUAUAAUCAGAGUUUUUCCAUAAAGGGGUGUUUUGAGUUCUCUGUAAAUUAAAUAUUAUAUGAUCAAUGCAUGAAUUGAUGAUUUAUGUGUAUAUACAUGAUAAUAUAUAAUCAUAACACGUUUUCUACCAUUUAUGUAUUUUUUAAAACAUCAAUUUCAUAUAAAUAUGUUGUAAUUGGAUUUUGACUAAAAGACAAUUUGCACCCCAAACUUUAUAGUCUAUUUACUUUUGCAUUUCAAACCGAAAAAGGUGCAAGUACACCCCAAACUUCAUUAUACGUAACAAAACGCACACUUUCUUCACUUAACCGGUCAAAAGUGAUUGACUAAGGCUGUAACAUAAGUUUGGAGUGCAAAAUUUUGUUUUUAAAAACAAAAACAGAAUUUUUUUGUGGCAAAAAUGAUUUUUGUUAUAAGUUAAUGAUUUUUUUAAUCGGAAUGAUUAAUAAUUAAUUUUAAAAAUAAAAAUAAAAUAAUCAUUUUACAAAUUAAUGAUUAAUUAUUAUUCAUUAAUUUCAAAUAUUUAUUUUAUUUUAAUUAUUUUAUUUUAAAUUAAUUAUUUUAUUUUUAUUUUUAAAACUAAGACUAAAAGACAAAAUGUACCCCAAACUUCACUCUCUAUUUACCUGUGCAUCCUAUACUUAAAUAGGUGUCAAAGUGCACCCCAAACUUCAUUAUACGAGACAUAACGCACACUUUCUUUACUUCAGUGGUCAAAAGUGACCGACUAAGGCUGUAACACAUGUUUAGGGUGCAUUUUGUCUUCCUAUUUUUAAAACAGAAUUUUAUUUUACAUUUUGUUUUUAAACAUAAUUUUUAAAAAAAAUAGAAUUUGUAAAAGCAUAAUUUUUUUAAAACAGAUUUUUUUUAAAAAUUUAAAAACAGAAUUUUAUUUUACAUUUUAUUUUCAAACAGAAUUUUUAAAAAAAAAUUAAAACAGAAUUUUAUAUUACAUUUUGUUUUUAAAAAUAGAAAUUUUUUUAAACAGAAUUUUUAUAAAAAAUUUAAAACAGAAUUUUAUUUUACAUUUUGUUUUUAGACAGAAUUUUUAAAAAUAGAUUUUUUUAAAAAAAUAGAAUUUGUAAAAACAUAAUUUUUUUUAAACAAAAUUUUUUUAAAAAAUUUAAAAAUAGAUUUUUGUUAAUAAAAUAAAUCUUCAAAAAAAUCAAAGCAAAAAGUGAGAAAAAUAAGUGCUAAUCACCAUUUUCAAAAUAAGUAUUAGUAAUAAUAAUGGAGUACUUAUUUUUUAAAAAAAAUUCUGUUUUUAAAAACAAAAACAGAUUUUUUUUUAACUUGUAAAAUAAAUUUCUGUUUAAAAAAAUUCUGUUUUUACAAAAUUUUGUUUUUAAAGAUUGUGUUUUAAUUUUUAAAAUCAAAAACAUAUUUUUUUUAACUUGUAAAAUAAAAUUUUGUUUAAAAAAAAAUUUCUAUUUUUAAAAAUUUUGUUUUUACAAAAUUUUGUUUUUAAAAAAAAAAAGAAUUUUUUUUGUGGUAAAAAUAAUUUGCACCCCAAACUUGUGUUACAUCCUUAGUCGGUCGCUUUUGACCGGUUAAGUGAAGAAAGUGUGCGUUCUUGUAUAAUGAAGUUUGGGGUGUACUUAGACACCUUUUUAAGUUUAGGGUGCACAGGUAAAUAAGAAGUAAAGUUUGGGGUGCAUUUUGUCUUUUAGUCUAAAACUAAUUAUUUUAUUUAAAAUUAAUUAUUUUUGCCAAUUUUUAAGACUAAAAGACAAUUUGCACCCCAAACUUGUGUUACAGCCUUAGCCGGUCACUUUUGAUCGGUUAAGUGAAGAAAGUGUGUAUUUUGUUACGUAUAAUUAAGUUUGGGGUGUACUUAGACACUUUUUUCGGUUUGGGGUGCAAAAGUCAACAAGUGUGUAAAAUUUGGGGUGCAAAUUAUCUUUUAGUCUUAGAUUUUUGAAGUUAUAGAGUAUAAAAGUUGUAUAUAUAUGACCUUUAUGAGCAAUUGUAUGCCAUGAAUUGUUGUUUAACUUUAAAUUUUACAGUAAAGUAUGAUAAUACAUGUUAAAACGAACAGAUUUCAAGUUUUUCUUCAAAACUUUCUAAAAACACCAAGAACAGUGAAAUUAUGUGAUUUGAUUCAAGUAAUUGUAUGAUUUAAGUUAUUAAAAUCAUGCUAGAAAGGUUGGAUAAUAAUCAUAUAUGAAUUUUAGUAUCUGGGUAUGCUUAGAUUAAUGUAUGAACAAGGAAAUUGGAAGUUAUGACUUUGUUCUGUGUCUUUUCGCGAACUUUAGAUUCUAGAAUUGGUGUGUCGCGCUGCAGCGCCAGAUCUAGGCUUAAGAUCCGAGCUGCAGCGCCAAUAGUCCGAGCUGCAGCACCAGCCGCGCUUCAGCGCCAGAUGCAAUUCAAAUGGUGGAGCUACAUCGCCACUCUGCUGUUUUUGCCCAGAAAGGAGAUAUUUAAUUGUUCAAGUCUAAGAAAUGUAAUUGUAACCUAAUCUAAUGAACAUAAAAGGUAUUAGACAUAUAAUGUGAUGUUAAAAUAGAUUCUUAACAUGUCAAUGAGGUACUUACAUGUUUAAUUGAUUUGUUGAACGCAUAGUUAGCUCGUCGUUUGUGAAGUCUAAUAUUACGUGAAAACAAGUUUUGUGAUUUGAUUAGUAUAAUCAUAAUCAGAGUUUAGACAAAAGAGAAUUAACUUAUGAUGCAAGUUAUGUUAUAAUUAACUAGUAUUGUUAAUGUAAUGAUAUGUAGGAUUAAAUUGAGGAACGUGAAUGGUUAACGUGUAAUUUACGCACGAGUCAAACUUCUAAACCUUACCUCUUUACAUUGAGCAAGUUUUCUAACCUUAAACUUUAUUUGAGCAAGUUCUCGUUAUUAUUGAUCAAGUUCGAGAUUUCAUAUUAGAUGUUAUCAUUCUAUUAAAGCAUGAUUGCUGCUAUACAAUACUUAUUCGAUUGUAUACCUCUUGAGUUUAUUAUUCAAAUUGAAUAUCAUUUAUUGUUAAACCUUGUAAGACUAGUGAACCCUUAUUGAUUCGAUUAGUCCAUAGUUGAUGAACGUUCUAAAUUUCAAAACCCUUGUUGAACUUAUCCAAACCAAACUUCCUUUGGUGCGGACUCUAAUGUCAAAUUAAGGGUUGAUCCCGUUAAGUACGAGAAAAAGAGUACAUAGUCUUAUGACUGUUAAAGGUUUCAAGUAUAAAUUUUUGACAACUUAGGACAUAGUUUAAGGUCUUACGACACUCAGAAGUUCUUUUGAUUCUUGUUAUUCAUUCUUGAUUCAAAAGCCGAGUUUUCUUAUUUUAGAAGUCUUUGAUUCAUUCGCAUGUUAUUAUUUUAUUGUUAUAUUAUUAUACUUGUGGGCAAUCGUGCUCACUCUUGCUUAAUAAUAACAUUGCAGUUAAGAACGAAAGGUCCGACGAGCCUUCCACUACCAAAGGCAAGGGCAAGGGC